UCCCGUGUGGCUCAGUUGGUAGAGCAUCGUGCUUGCAAUGCCACGAUUGUGGGUUUGAUUCCCAUGGGGGAA
rfam:Salmo salar isolate Sally breed double haploid chromosome ssa11, whole genome shotgun sequence.